GAUGAACGCUGGCGGCGUGCCUAAUACAUGCAAGUCGAGCGAACGGACGAGAAGCUUGCUUCUCUGAUGUUAGCGGCGGACGGGUGAGUAACACGUGGAUAACCUACCUAUAAGACUGGGAUAACUUCGGGAAACCGGAGCUAAUACCGGAUAAUCUUUUGAACCGCAUGGUUCAAAAGUGAAAGACGGUCUUGCUGUCACUUAUAGAUGGAUCCGCGCUGCAUUAGCUAGUUGGUAAGGUAACGGCUUACCAAGGCAACGAUGCAUAGCCGAACUGAGAGGGUGAUCGGCCACACUGGAACUGAGACACGGUCCAGACUCCUACGGGAGGCAGCAGUAGGGAAUCUUCCGCAAUGGGCGAAAGCCUGACGGAGCAACGCCGCGUGAGUGAUGAAGGUCUUCGGAUCGUAAAACUCUGUUAUUAGGGAAGAACAUAUGUGUAAGUAACUGUGCACAUCUUGACGGUACCUAAUCAGAAAGCCACGGCUAACUACGUG
rnacentral:rRNA from 1 species